CUGCUGCCUUCCGUAGGAGUUUGGGCCGUGUCUCAGUCCCAAUGUGGCCGUUCACCCUCUCAGGCCGGCUACUGAUCGUCGCCUUGGUGGGCCGCUACCCCGCCAACCAGCUAAUCAGACGCGGGUCCAUCUUACACCACCGGAGUUUUUAAGACGAAGUCAUGCGACUCCCUCUGUUAUGCGGUAUUAGCACCUAUUUCUAAGUGUUAUCCCCCAGUGUAAGGCAGGUUACCCACGCGUUACUCACCCGUCCGCCACUAAGAUA
rnacentral:rRNA from 1 species